ACUAAAUUUAUGUAAGGUAUAUUUAAAAGCUUAAACCUAUUUUUAAGCAACUGACUAAUUCCACACCCCCCCCCCCCCCAUACUGUGUUUAGGAUAUAGGUCUAGCUAAGUGAUUAAUCUGUCUUCUUGAAUAAUGCCAAAAACGUUGCAUCAGCAUGAGAGGAUCUAACCUUUGAAAAAUUCCCCCAGGAGCAUCCAUUUCUGCUGGGGAUUUUGCUGCCAGCCAGAGCAGUUAAUAAAAAAGGGAAAGCCAAUAACACUGCCAGAAAUUUUUGCCAUAUGAAAGUCAGAGAAUCAGUUAGAGGCUGUCAAAUGUAAUGUAUGAUAUUAUUAAUAAGGAGAAUUCAAGAUCCAAAUGGGGCUUUUUGUCCCAGAGAUUGGGUCAUGCGGAAGCGGCUGAGGAAAUAGUGAGUCUCCAGGUGGAACUUCCAGUGGGACAGCGUUGGAGCAGACUUCUCAAAGCCAUUUAUUUUAUCAUUUCAGGAGGAUCAGUGAGGAGAAAAUCAUAGAAUCAUAGAAUGGUUCACUGAAUGAAAGACAGCAGAGGAGAUAUUCCAGCUGGAGGGUGGGGUGCCCACUGGGCAUGUUUCAACCUUUGGUCUCUGAGGACCUCAAGAUGUGGACACCUUUCCUUCCUGGUCAGCAAUGUGGGCUGGGGACACUCAGAAGACAUCAAGGAACAAGAUGUUACACACCAAAAUCAUCAGUUCACAUCAUGCAGAAAUUCGCAGUGCCUGAGAAGAAUUAAUUACACAGUCAUCAUGUUUCCGUAA
rnacentral:lncRNA from 1 species